rnacentral:lncRNA from 1 species
UGAUAAGCGGUUGUCGAAGCCGUCAAAAAUAAACCUAUUAAACAAUCAACAAUAAACUUGUAGAUAGUGGCAAUAGGGUCGAACCACAGGGAAUUGACACCAAUGAUUUUCCUAAUAAUGACUAGGUCAAGUAAAUAACAAGUAAAUAAAAGAGGGGGGUUUUGUGUUGAAGAUGUACUAAAGCUAAUUAACAAUAGCAAGCAAAUAAUUUAAAGAUGAGUAAAUCAAUAAGAGAAAAGCUUCUAGUUGAAGUAUGGAUCUAUUUCAGAUUGUUUAGAAUUGAUCAUUGAUUCUUUAACACUCCUAUUUAUUCCAAUAAAUUAGUUUUGGAUGUGGAAGACGCUUCUCACAAUCCAAAUUCCUCCUUAGUUCUAGUUUGAUUAGGAAACGUUCGCUAAUCAAACACUAGUUAACAAGUUGCCAAGGAACGUCCUUGGGGCAUUAUAGCAUCGAACAACUGUUAACUGCAUUAAGACUUAGAGAAACCUAAUUCUAUCCUUGCCAACCGCGUGGUCAAGUUUAGAUUAUGCAAUUUGAUUAAAUGUGUAUUUGAACAACCUAAGCAAUUACGGACCUAAACCAUUCAAACAAUAUUACUUAAGCAAUUUAAAAGCAAUGGGCCCUUAUUGAUUCUAAAAGCAAAGUAAUAUUUAUGGAAAGCUCAAAUUGCAUAAAUAUUGAAAAUAAAUAGAAGUUUAACAAUGGAGAUUUAAAUCUCCCAAUUCAUCACAAAAUCUGAAAUUCACCAACUUCAACUAGAAAAGAAAGAGUUUAGCCACUCAUGGUGGACUAAAUACACAAAAAGAUGAAAAGAAAAGAAAAAGGAAGAUGCUGGAGAGUUUCUGGCGAGUUGAGUUGCUGAUCAGAAGAUGAUCCUUUGCUGGUUUGGAGGCUGCCCUUUUUAUAGCUGAAGAGUUCCAUCCUUCUAGGGUUUUGAAAUCCCUUUUUAAUUUGGCUUGUGAUUCCUCUUUUGAUGUUGAAUUUAAUUGCAACUGGAAUUCCUUAGGUGAGAAACUCUUUCGUGGCUCUUGGAAUUGUUUUGGUAGUGAUUGAGUUGGAUUUGGACUUCUGAAAACUUGAAAUUCGGUUUCCUGAACAAUUUCCCGCUCUGCUGUAUUUUCUGCUGUCAAAGUGAUUUGCCCGGUGAUUUGACCAGUUUCUUCAAGUGAUUGGGCAAAUCACAGACCUGAUCACGUUUCUGCCAGUCAGUUCUCUCUGUCUUCUGCGAGUGAUUUGGGCAGUGAUCUUCGAGUUUCUUGGACAAAUCGCUGGGCAAAUCACUGCUGUCUGUUGCCUCUGGGUUUCUGCUUUAACUUGAUCUGGGCAGUGAUUGGAGCAGAUUUUCUGGUGAUCUUGGGCAAAUCACUGGGCAAAUCAUCCUUUUGUAAUUUUUCUGCACUUUUUCUCCCAUUUUCCAAUUUCUUCCUUUUCUGUAAAAACAAGAUAAAAAUCAUAAAUUAAACUAAAAAAUGUGUAAAUAAACAAUAAUAAUUAUGAUAAAAAUGUGGCUAAAUUAUGCUUGAUCAAU